AAAUAAGUGCCUGAUUAUAAUAGGGUUAUCUUGAUAUGAUAAAAUAUGUUAAUAUUUAACCUUAUUUA
rnacentral:tRNA from 1 species